ensembl:lncRNA
UGCGUACUACAGGGUUCGGUCGCUGAACUACACUUUUUACCACACCCUACACGUCAACAUACCUUUGAUAUAGUAUCGCACAAAAUUACUCUUUUCAGUCUGUUACAUUUGAACUAAGAAGACAAAUCACACAGAGCUUUGCAAUACCGUUUGGUCUAUAUGGUUAUGACUUUAAACAGCCGAAGGAGGUGGUGUUUCAUUUCAAAAUAUGAGGCCAGAUGGACCGUAUUCCUCACCAUAUUAUAUGUAUGGUGCAUUGUUUGUGGAGGUACAACCUCCAUAACACCAACAACACCAAUUUCAACAGCCAGUGAAGUUUGUAUAAUAAGAACUAAAGCAUCUCUUACCACAGCUAUGAUCCUCAAACAAAAUACAUGCAUAGCUGCGACUUUCACAACUACAUCUCCAACAACUACUGAUUCAAUAUCAAUUGCAUCUACAACUGAGGCUCCUACAGAAAAUGUAUCUUCAGCAACAGCUACAGGUCAAACAGCAAUGUCAUUUUCAAUGACAACAGAAACUGGAGCUUUCACAACCACAGAUGUGAUCCCCACAACCACUCUCAUAUUCUCACCAAGUACAAAUGCACCAUCAACAGCAACAAAUGCUGCUUUAACAACAACAGCACCAUCAACAGAAACUGAAGCUUCCACAACCAUAGAUGUGACCCCCACAACCACACUUAUAUCCUCACCAAGUACAACUACACUUUCAACAGUAACAAAUGCUGCUUCAACAACAACAGCACCAUCAACAGAAACUGAAGCUUCCACAACCAUAGAGGUGACCACCACAACCACUCUCAUAUCCUCACCAAGUACAACAACAACAGCACCAUCAACAGAAACUGAGGCUUCCACAACCAUAGAUGUUAUCCCCACAACCACUCUCAUAUCCUCACCAAGUGCAACAACAACAGCACCAUUAACAGAAACUGAAGCUUCCACAACCACUCUCAUUUCCUCACCAAGUACAACUGCACCAUCAACAACAAAUGCUGCUUCAACAACAACAGCACCAUCAACAGAAACUGAGGCUUCCACAACCAUAGAUGUGACCCCCACAACCACUCCCAUAUCCUCACCAAGUACAACUGCACCUUCAACAGCAACAAAUGCUGCUUCAACAACAACAGGACCAUCAACAGAAACUGAGGCUUCCACAACCAUAGAUGUGAUCCCCACAACCACACUUAUAUCCUCACCAAGUACAACUGCACCUUCAACAGCAACAAAUGCUGCUGCUUCAACAACAACAGCACCGUCAACGGAAACUGAAGUUUCCACAACCAUAGAGGUGACCCCCACAACCACUCUGAUAUCCUCACUAAAUACAACAACAGCAUCAUCAACAGAAACUGAGGCUUCCACAACCAUAGAGGUGACCCCCACAACCACUCUGAUAUCCUCACUAAGUACAACAACUACAGCACCAUCAACAGAAACUGAAGCUUCCACAACCAUAGAUGUGAUCCCCAUAACCACACUUAUAUCCUCACAAAGUACAACUGCACCAUCACCAGCAACAAAUGCUGCUUCAACAACAACAACAGCACCAUCAACAGAAACUGAAGCUUCCACAACUACAGAGGUGACCCCCACAACCACUCUCAUAUCAUCACGAAGUACAACAACAACAGCACCAUCAACAGAAACUGAAGCUUCCACAACUACAGAGGUGACCCCCACAACCACUCUCAUAUCAUCACGAAGUACAACAACAACAGCACCAUCUACAGAAACUGAGGCUUCCACAACCACACUCAUGUCUUCACCAAGUACAACUGCACCUUCAACAGUAACAAAUGCUGCUUCAACAACAACAACAGCACCAUCUUUAACAACUGAAGUUUCAACAACUGCAGAUCUGAACCCCACAACCAUGCCUGUAUUCUUUGCAUCUACAGCAACAGAUGAAGUUGCACUGUUUUCGACAACUGAAGCUUCUACAGCUGUGUCCCCCACAAACACUCUUAUAUCCUCAAUAACUGCUCCUAGAACAACUGCUGCUUCAACACCAUCCUCAACCAUUGAAGGUUAUACAACCACAGCUGUGACCUCCACAACCACUGUUAUAUUCUUAGAAACUACAACCACGGCAAAUACUGCUCAAACAACAACAUUUUCAAAAACAAAUGAAGCUUUAACCACCACAGCAGUGAAUCCCACAACUAUGCCUGUAUUCUCAAUACCUACAUCAAAAGAAAAUUCUGCUCCAACAAUAAUUCCACUGUCUUCGACAGCUGAAGCUUCUACUACCAAAGCUGUGAACCCCACAAAAACUCUUAUAUCAUCAGCAACUGCACCUACAACAACAACAAAUGCUGCUACAGCACAAUCUUUGACCACUGAAGGUUAUACAACCACAGCUGUGAACCCCACAACCACUCUUAUUUCUUCAGAAUCUAAAACAACAACUUCUCCAACAACACCAUUGUCAACAACAAAUAAAGCUACAACCACCACAGCAGUGAAUCCCACAAUAACGCCUGUAUUCUCAGUACCUACAGCAACAGAAAAUGCUGCUCCAACAGAGACACCCUUGUCAACAAUUAAAAGUGAAGCUUAUACAACCACAGCUGUGACCCCCACAACCACAAUCAUAUCUUCACCAACUGCAACUGCACAAUCUUCAACAACUGAAGCUUCAACAAUCGCAGCCAGAAACCCCACAACCAUGCCUGUAUUCUCUCUACCUCCAG